rnacentral:rRNA from 1 species
ACGAACGCUGGCGGCGUGCUUAACACCUGCCAGUCGAACGGAAAGGCCCCUUUGGGGGUACUCGAGUGGCGAACGGGUGAGUAACACGUGAGUAACCUGCCCUUGACUUCGGGAUAACUUCAGGAAACUGGGGCUAAUACCGGAUAGGAAUCCUUGCUGCAUGGUGGGGGUUGGAAAGCUUCGGCGGUUUUGGAUGGACUCGCGGCUUAUCAGCUUGUUGGUGGGGUAGUGGCUUACCAAGGCUUUGACGGGUAGCCGGCCUGAGAGGGCGACCGGCCACAUUGGGACUGAGAUACGGCCCAGACUCCUACGGGAGGCAGCAGUGGGGAAUAUUGCACAAUGGGCGGAAGCCUGAUGCAGCAACGCCGCGUGCGGGAGGACGGCCUUCGGGUUGGAAACCGCUUUCAGCAGGGGCGAAGCUUGUGGUGACGGUACCUGCAGAAGAAGCACCGGCUAACUACGUG